AUGGGGAAAGGCAAGGCUAGUCUUGAUGAGUCGGACGUCGCCGAACUCCUGGCAAUGAAGGGCGAAUUUCUGCAGCACCGUGACGAAACUGCAGAGCUGCGUGGAGAAGUCGACGAUCUCCGCAAGGAUGUGCACGGCAUUGGCCUCAAGCAGGAUACCAUGGUGUCGGUGCUGGAUGGAGUCCAAAAAGCUGUUUCGUCUCUGAAUACACAGCUUGCAGCUAUGGCAGACGUGCUCAAAUCCAUGACACUCUCAGAUGCAUCUACAUCCGCACAACCAGGCCAACCAGUUUCUGAGCAACAGAUCCCAAACAAUGAGGCAAGUGCACCUGAGGACAGACCACUGACUGAAGAUUUGCGCAAACGCCUUGCACUUGAACAGGCCAAGACUCGUCAGUUGGCGGCACAAAUACCCCCUAACCUCGCACCAAUUCAGGUUCCUCGGCCCUCUGUUCCUCCAGGGUUUGGUACGGCUGCAACCAUAGACGCUCCUUCUGGUAAUGCAACUCCUACAGCAGCUUACAAAACUGCUCGUACACCCACUUUCAACAAUUUUCGGGCUGCCAGGGUGCGCCAGGGUUGGGAUGAAUUUCCCAAACAGUAUGAACAGGAGAUGAGAACACAAUUCCUUAAGAGCAUCACCAAAGGCCCUCGCAUGGAUUUCCCACGAUUUGAUGGUGAAAAUCCAGCAGGAUGGAUCUGUCAGUGCGAUAAAUACUUUCAGAUGGCAGGGGCACCGGCAGAGUACAAAGUCAGCCUUGCUCAACUGUACAUAGUGGGAAAAGCUGAUGUAUGGUUACGUCGCUCAGGCAUACUGAAAAAGCAAUUAACUUGGUCUUAA
rnacentral:rRNA from 1 species